rnacentral:rRNA from 1 species
GUAGUGUUAACUAUUCUUACAGCUAACGCGUUAAACAUUCCGCCUGGGAACUACGAUCGCAAGAUUAAAACCUAAAGAAAUUGACGGAGAUCUGCUACAAGCAGUGGAGCAUGUGAUUUAAUUCGAUACACCGCGAGAAAUCUUACCAAUCCUUGUCAUAUUAGAUAUAGAUAGUAGAUAUUGUAGUAAUAUACAAUAAAUGAUUUCUAUCUCUCAUAAAGCAUAAAAUAGGACGAUAAUUUCAUAGCAUUGUCUAUAUAUAUAAUAUCUAAUACAGGUGUUGCAUGGC